rnacentral:rRNA from 1 species
CCUACGGGUGGCAGCAGUAGGGAAUAUUGCUCAAUGGGGGAAACCCUGAAGCAGCAACGCCGCGUGGAGGAUGAAGGUUUUCGGAUUGUAAACUCCUUUUGUUAGAGAAGAAAAUGACGGUACCCUGCAAGAAAGCUCCGGCUAACUACGUGCCAGCAGCCGCGGUAAUACGUAGGGAGCAAGCGUUGUCCGGAAUUACUGGGUGUAAAGGGAGCGUAGGCGGGAGGAUAAGUUGAAUGUGAAAUCUAUGGGCUCAACCCAUAGCUGCGUUCAAAACUGUUCUUCUUGAGUGAUGGAGAGGCAGGCGGAAUUCCGUGUGUAGCGGUGAAAUGCGUAGAUAUACGGAGGAACACCAGUGGCGAAGGCGGCCUGCUGGACAUUAACUGACGCUGAGGCGCGAAAGCGUGGGGAGCAAACAGGAUUAGAUACCCCAGUAGUC